rnacentral:lncRNA from 1 species
AGGCUCCUUCCUGCCCCGCCCACCACCCUGCUUCAACAUAUCAGUUGUCAUUAGGAACUUCUUUCUCUUAACGAGAAGCUUCAGGCUUUUGUGUUUGUGGUCCUGUGUUAAAAGCUUGCUAAACGCGCGUUAAAAGCGAUUUUUUCACCCCUAUCGAGUAAGUUUAUCGCUUCUUUCGGAAUGCGCUGAAAGGCUCAACGCGCUCGUAUCUAGGUCGGGGGUAAUUCAACUGUAUAAGCAAGGCUCGGGAUAUGGGGAUAUGGAUUUCACCUUAUGGGGAAUAGGCUGAAAGAGCAACAGGCAACCAAGACUUAUGAAGUGCGUUCAGGCUCACUUUACACUAAAAAAAUGGGAACCCUAGUUCGAAAUAUGAAACGACGUUUGCAACAGGAGAGUCGGCGAAGGGAUCAACAGUCUUCCUUCAGUAAAGGCCCAUCCAGGUGUCUUCGCCCACCUUUACAUAUGCGAUUGUUCGCUCGACCUGGCUGCCCAGUUACGAAAUAUAUAGCUAUAAAAAAAGCUAGAAAUAGAACUCAACUUAGUUGCUCAGUCUCUAGGAAUUCCCAAGCGUUAGCGAAGAAAGAAGCCUACUUGAAGAAGGCUGCCAAGAGGAGCAAGCCCACAUCGAGCAAGUUGACUUACUUUAUGUUAUGUAAAGAGUUCGCUAUUACGGCCCAGUUCUUCCACGAGCGAAGGCCCGUCAAAUUGGUCUCAAAGAUUUUCAAGGAAACCCAACCCCUUCCUCUCUUCCCCUCCUUCUAUCCAAAGAAACUUUCCCAGCUGUAGUAGCUGUUCUCUUCCCUUCCAUCGAUUGAGCUUUCUCUCGCUUAAUUCAAUAGGGCCUUAGUAGACCGGUUUUAAUUCGACAACUCGAUCGCUUCUUCCUUUGCUGGAAUUGCCAUCUUUGCUGCUCUCGGCUUCUGAAUUCGUACCUUUCAAUAGCCAGUCUAGAAGCCCUAAUGUUGUAAGGCACGUGACUGCAUUCCUAAAUUCUAUCUCUGCUUCCUUCACUGCUUCCCGAAACUGACCUGCUUACACUGCACUGCUUCUUCCAACAAUACUGGAAGUGGGGCUGCCCUAUAUGGUCAAGCCAAGCAAAAAGGGAGUUUCCUCUUUGUAUCCUCUAGUCUCAAGAGUUUCUUUCAUCUUCGAUAGUCUGGAGAUAGUGCAUUAGCCUCCGUUGACCAAUUUGAAGCUUAUGAAAUCUCUUUCACAAAGAAGAGUCUUCAAUACUCAUUUUCUUUUUCAAGUGACCGUAUGGGUGGUCUAUCAAGACGAUAACAUAUCCCCCAAAUAGUGGCUUAGAAUUGAAAUGCGAAUAUAGCAAAAAACCAUUAAUGAAAAUCACUUUUCACUCUAGAAGUCCUCAAUGGAAGCUAUUCAAAUUUCGCAGAAUAUUGCUUAGUGCUCGACCUACUUAAUGGGAUACCGGUUGAGAAUUAGGCCAAUUUCCUAUUCGGGAAAGCAGACUCAUUCGUUGUCUUAACAAGUUUGAGGCCAUUAUCUCUACUUGAGCAAUCAUUAAUUUAUUUUGAUAAAAAAAGUGAUACCCAGACCGGACGACUUCUAGCCCAGGUCCUACUACCAGUCCGGAGACAAUUGAAUUACCUUCUUAUCAUAUCGAGCCUUUGUCACGAUUUCAAGUAAUGAGUUCGGGCUUCUGUCUGUUAAGGUCUCUCUGAACAGAGCUCCACAACUAUCAAAGGAAUCUCCCCUGACAGAAAGGAGUCCCACAGUUGAUUGAGAGUUUCGAGAAUCUUCGAUAGGAGAAAGAAAAGCAUUAGCCAGUACCAGUACCUGAAUAAGCAGCAGUUGUUUCGACAGCUUGGAUUGGAAUCUCGAAUUCUCAACGGUAAUCCCCCUCUAUUUUCAUCUCGACAUGAAAAGUCAGAGGGACUGAAAGACUCAUAAGGUUAUAGUGCGGGAUCAGUUCCAUUUUCAUAGUUAAAUAAUCUAAUCUACUUCAAAUAAAGACAAAAGGGAAUCCACGGUGACAGAGAAAGAUGAAGCAAAGAAAGCGCAUAGCGUGGCACCCCGUAACAAUGGAAUUGAGCUUGGCCCUGUCUCGGCCUUAAUAAGCAGUUGAAUCCUCUGCAUGAGGAAGUCACCUCGACAUCUUAGAAUGUCGGUAUCGAGGAAAGACAGAAAUAUGGGUUAAUCAACAGUUCCCAACAGAGAUAGAUUUUGUGAAUCUACAGACAGAUAUGGUUUUUGAACUGAGCCUGUUCCCACUCGUAUACCAGCCAAAGUUAGGUAAAGAGGGUUUCUUUGGCUUCUGAACUUAAAAGUCUCUUCUUUCUCUUAGGGGAAGCCCAAAGCUAGCUAUCUCUUCCUUGCUCGACUUCCCGACUUGCCUUCAUGAAUCAAAGUUUAGCCCGAUGAAUGACAGGUUUGCCUUGUGUUGGGACGGUAGGCAAGGUUCGGUACUCAGUUCCAGGCGGUUUGUUUUCCAGUAAGGUACUCAAUCAAGCCGUUCAAGCAAGCGGAUCGUAGAAAAACCACUUCUCUUGUGUGUCCUCCUUCUCAUGGGAGUAGGCACCAGUCUCAGGGAAAGCGGCAGGGGCUUCGGCUGUUGGAAACCCGGACACUGCUCCUGCGCAAUCAGAGAAAGAAGAAAGGUAAUCCAUCUCGACAUUCUGAGGGCUAACUCCUAAAGCAAUCACGGUAAGUUCACUUCGGGAAUCAAUACAAUAAGAUCUUUUCACUCUUUUUCUCUAUCAGUCUACCCCCGUAGUCUUCCGAAGGUGUAUUAAGGGUAGAGCUUUACCCGGACCGCAAUUUCUGACGUGAGAAAGGAAUAGCGUAAGGUCCGACCUUUUUCAUCUAAGGGGUAAAUAAGCUGUUAGGACCGAGGGCAGCGGUUACAUCCCGGUAGUCAGCAACAGCGGUUCAGUGUCAAAUGAAAGCUAAGCGGGAAGGCUACUUCACUUCAGACAAUCAGGCAGAAGCAGCGGUGUCGGGUUCCUUCCUUUCGCCAAUAGACUAGACCAGCUACUACUACUACUACGAAAAGUAAGAGCUCAAACUCCUAAGCACCACUACUCCUAUAAAAAAAAGUUGCUUGCUUAUUCUAUUCUUCUGGAUGUGCUCCACAUUUCAUUCGCUUUCCUUUCACAUCGGUCUUACAAGGCCCUUUCUUUCUUCGGUGAGUUGCAAGAGGGGUUUUUUUUAUGGGGAUAGGUAAGGAAAGAUGACUUUGGGAGGAAUUCGGGAUCGGUCAUCGAGGGGGUAGUGGAUGGAGAUGACGACUAGUAGGAGAUGACAACUAAUGGAGCUAGCUUUCUUCUUUCUGCUGACUAAUCAUGGACUCAGAGCUAAACAACUAUGACUCGUAUGAUUUGCUAACACAACGGAUGGUUUCGAAAUAUUUCUCGCCGGGUUCUGGCGCUGUCCCCCGAGUUCGCCCGCUGAAUCUGCUGCUCGCUGAACAAGAUGCCUUCUCAGCAAUCAGUUCCAGUCCCUUGUCUUUCAUCAUUAUGCAUUCAACGCUUUCGAAUGAGUCGGUUCAAGCAACUCAUAAACCCAAUAUCAAAAGUUUCACCCAGGUAUACAUAUCCUUACCUCAUCUCUGGUUCAGGACCAACCAUGCACUCACAGCCACUACUCUCUUCUUAAGCUUGCAGUAGUGCCGUUGCUCUAGUAGUCCAACCAUGCAGUAGCAUACCAAUGCAGAUAUCGGAGAUGAUACUCCAUCCAUCUUUCAAAAAUCUUUCAAACAUGCAAUCUGCAUCGUCACCAUAGAAAGUACGAAUCCGAUCAAUUUCAACUUCAUUGAAGUUUGAUGGACGUACACGCUCCAUGAUAAACGCCCUUACCAUUCCAUACUGCUCUGCAGUCAACACUCCCAAAUCUGGAAAUGCUAACCAAAACUUCAAUGGUAAAGGAAGUCUGCCAGUCGGCGAAAACAUUAAGAGAUAAUGGCGCUUCCAACGUUUAGAUGUCGGAAGACCUUGACGUGAGUAGACCUUAUAAGAUCCACCGCGUAACCUGUACGAACACAGCAAAUUGACUCGCAGCUCCGAAAACAGGAAAGUGGAAACUCCAGAAGAGAGAGUACGGAGAACCCGAAGGGACACAGGACUAAAGUCAAGUGUAACCUUAUAGACCAUAAAUCUCUUAGCAAAUUCUAGAGCACUCACGUUAGGGACGGACUUUUCUUUUGAUAUGGUCACCUCACACUCCUCCAUAACCUCAAGAUAUGACUUCACGACUACUGGAUCCGCGAUGACAUUGUCAUCGCCCAGUAGAGCAUAAUCAAAGAACUUCACCCCAGGGCGUACCCUCCAUGCUGCAUACCACACCAGCAUAUGAUGCGUGAGUGUGCCAUGAACUGUAAAACCCUAGAGUAGAGGUUGCCCCUUUGUAAACCGGAAGACAUAUAAUUGGGCGAAGGCCCCUUUUCUGGUAACCGGAAGCCAAAAGCACAUAGAAUAAGAUAAAUCCAUGACUCGGCUAAUCGACGGCCAAACAAACUAAACAAGACACCUCCACUUAAAUCUACCGGCAAAGAGUCGGUAGCAGCUUUGAGAUCGAAGGAAAACAAAUGACUUUGACCGAGCAAGGGGCGCGGUUUGGUUAUAUGUCCCGUCAGUCGGAAGACAAUGAAGCACAUCCAUCACCCGAUCAUGUAAAGGCCGGAAAAGCAAAAAAAAUAAUGAAUAAGACAAAGAAAGGACUUGGACACACCUAUCUCAAAUUAGUGAAGAUACCGGUGGUUAUGGGUAUGGAUCCACGCGAGAUGAUAGCUUUCUCGGGUUUUUGAACAGUUGCUGGCUUUAUUGAUUUACCUCUUGGUAAGGGGAAACUAGCGAAGGUUUUAUUACCUUUUCUUCCGUACACCUUUGCCGACACCGGUACCUCCUAUCAUUGGCACUCUAACUAGGCGAAAUGGUGAGGAAGCCGCUUCUGGGACCGUACGAACUAGAAGGAAUGAUGCUUGCAUAGGUGGGGGGCUGCCUCUACUUCUACAUGUGGUGCUACCUUCGCUGCUUUCAUUAGUCUUGGUUCUUCCAAAGUCGCAAUUAGGAUUGGACUUAGCGUUUAUCCCACAUCGGGAAUUCUCUCUGUUAUGUUGUUGUUUUUAGAGAGUGCGGGGGCCUUUGUCUCUAACUGAACUGUGAUGCCGUAGCUUCUUAUGCUGCAGCCCAUACCAUCCUAGCUUCCCAUACUUUUUCUACCGCUAAUAUGACUAGUGCCCAUACAGCCUAUGUCUUUGCUUCUUAUGCCUUUGUUGCCUUUAUCCCACUCGAAACUAACUGAGAUUCUGCUGACUCAGAUGCUGGUGGUCUAACUUGAAUGGAAUCUGAUCGAUCUCAAUAUGGAACAACUAUAAAGUAUAUGCAUAAACUCUUCUGCCUCUGCCGGCUCUGGAACAGGCUCUUGCUCUAGCUCCGUUCCUCUCCAACCUUUUCUAUCUAUCCUUAGAAGUAGGGCGAGUAAUAAGCUCGAUCUGGAUCCGAAAUGGACUAUGGAUCUCGAUCUAUUGGUCUAUGCGGGAUUCGCCCUCUUCUCCAGUCUCAGUUCUGGUUCGAACAGAUCCCUUUCCGCCUUUGAAUUAGCUACUACUACUACUGAUGAAUGCACCUUCGCUGCACUCGGCCGCUUUCAGGGGGAGUGGGGAUGGCAGGGAAGGGCAUAUCUUUGCCGUGAUCCCCACGUUCAACUGUUAAUCCGUACCUAUCCACCCGAUGUGAUAGAGCGAUACUCUGUUCGAUUCCCCUUUGAUCCGAUGCCUACUACCUAAUAGAAAGGCAGCCAGCAGUCCAUGGCUAGCUGAUAUAUCACGGUUUCACCAUCAGAGGGAGGAGAUGGAAAGAAAGGAGUCGAUCACCUAGCCGAUCCCGAAUAGCCCGAUCUUUAUUUCAUUUCAACCGAUCCGCCGGGUCAUAACCUAAAAUUAUAUAUAUUUAUUUUUAUUAUUAUUAUUAUUAUUAUUAAUAUUAAUCUAAUAAUAAUAAUAAAUAUUAUAAUAAUAUAUAAUAAUUAGAUUAAUUAAUAAUUACUUUGCUUUGAUUCUGAAUAUCUGCUUCGACUACUGGAACAUUUCUUAGAAACCAUAUUGACGGAUACUAAAAACAAACCUUUUUUUCUCUAUUCCUUACUUGUGGUAUCUUCAUUCAUUCAGUCAUUCCUUCGUUUUAUAGCCUGUUGUGCUUGUUUUCUUUUGCUUGUUCUGUUGGAACAUUGAGUAAAUCAACCUUAUUAUGUAAUAAUUUUUCAUUCAACAAGGUAUGGGUAUCUUCUCACUUAGCUUGACUAGACAGUUAGUUAGUUCAAAAGGAAAAAGAGUAAAUUGACUUCUAUUGAGACCUCUUCUUGGAUGAAGAAUCAAGUGACUUGUUAAAAGCAUACUUCUAACUCGAACUAUUUCAUUACGGAGUACCUCAAGCCCCGCCUCGCCGUUAGCUUCAUAUCCUUUUUUACGGAACUCUAGCUUGUGCCGUAGACGACCUUCCCACUAGUGUGAGAGGAAACUCUCGAUUGGGACCCGUCCAUUGCUUGGCUCUUCCUACCCACAGGCGGGUUCCCCGGCAGAACGAUGAGGGCUUUGCUUGCCUUUCUUUUCUAGGAUGAGUGGUUGAUUCUCGAAUCCUUCUCUUUGCUUUACAACAUAGUUGAAUGCCCCCAACGGAAGGUACUUGUUUCUCUCUCGGGCCUGGCCGAUCAACGUAUGGCCGGUGUAAGAACCCAAAGCGCCUAUUCCCGGACGCAACCAACCUCUGACUAUUCCACUCUGAUUCCUUCGCUCUGCCCAUGAAAGUCUUCUUUCUUCGAGUGAGAGAGGAGAAGAUUCGCACUGGCUUUAUGGCUCAUACGACCUCGAAAGUUCAAUAAUUUAAGGGGUUCCGACGAAGGAAGAGCUUGACUGCUACUAAAAAAGGUACGCCCUAAUCGCUCCCCUUUAUUAUUAUUAGUAAGAUAGGGUGGUUGAGAAGCAGGUCGUUCGUGUGCUUAUUGUAAAAAAAUACCUACGACUAUCAAAGGAACUAAUCUCACAAGCAACCGUCACUCAUAAAGGGGCAACAAGACCUCUAACGGCCACUCUCUUUCUCUUCCUUCGGUAGGCUCUGCCUCAUAGCCGGACUCAGAAAUGCAACUCUUUGAUCAAACCUAGCAAAUAAUGGCAUAAACAAUGGAUUCUCACUCGGGGCUCAACUUUCCAUAAUCCACUGUUAAGGACUCUCUUUUUUCUCAUCCACCUUCUUUCCCUUGGUACGGUACCUUCACGGCACAUUUGUUCUCAAACCCUUCUUUUCAGACGUCGAAAUGGGCUUUUGCCUCGUAGCCAUACCUAGACGAAUCUGACUCCUCUUCGAAAAGAGAGAGCAGUUGUUCCCCGAAAGACUUGGAAAGGUUUUUUUUGCUACAAACGAGAUUGAAGAAGUCCAUCGACUUAAAAACCCUUGGUACUUUAAACCAAAGUCUUGCCUUGACUUACGAGCAAGCCGAACUCCCCCUUCGCAACACCUACCUUUUUUUCUUCCUGAGGUGGGUGUCCCGCUUGAAGCAAGAGGAUUAGACAUCUUAUUCAUUGAGUCGACGAGAUCGAAGUAGUAGGUUUCCAGCCCAGCAGUUUACGGAGAAGAGGGGAAAGUUUGAGGAGAGGAAUAAGAAGAAGAGAGGGGACCUCAUCAUGGCACGCUGGAGCAGGAAUUGAAUCUGCACUUGGCUCUCAUAAAGCCAAAGCAAAACAACCUUUCAUUGCCACUGAAUCCCCCUUUUUGAUCAGCCGAACUUUCCUUCUGCUUGACUUAGAGUAGAUUUCAUUCGACAUAUGCGACCAACUGCCCCCUCUCUUGCUUUUGAUCCAGCUAAUGGUAAUGAGUGCGCCUGAAGCCCCUGGAGUUCUUCCUCUUUUCCUUCCCCGAUCCGAUUCAACCCUCCGAUCUCUCUUUCCGUAGAGGAGAAGAGCUUCCCCUUGUUUUUCGGCGUCAACCUUUGUUCUUUCCUAACCAGACCUCGACGAAUCCAAAGUGAAAGGUCCAACUGGUCAAAUUCCUUAUUCAUUGGUCUAGGGUAUGGAAGCAGUCCUUCCUAUCGAAAUUUAGAUCCCAUCCCUUAGGAUACAGAUUGACAAGGACUUAACCGAUAGUGAAAAGCUUCCAGCUUUGUUGGCACAAAAAAACUCUUGGAUGAGAAAGGCCUACGUGCCGCUGAGCAUGCCCAAAUUUACCAAAAACGUAUCAGUUGAGCCUAUGAUAAGAAGGUCUUAGAAAGGAAGUUCAAGAUAGGUGACUUAGUCCUUAAGAAAAUCAUGCCUUCUAGAGAUCCACACCCUAGGGGAAAACGUCAAGCCGAAUCGGGAAGGGCCCGAUUUCAUAUCCGCCGUCCAUCCUGGAAAUGCAUAUAAACUUUAGAAUGCGGAUGGUGAUGAACUACCCGAUCCCUGGAAGGCCAUCUACCUCAAGAGGUACUACGCGUAGGCCAACCUUUGUUUGGAUUCACAUUUUGGCCUUACCUCGAGAGAACUUUGUUAUGUUUCCGAGUCUAAAGAGUAGGGCAUAUGUUUGUUGUCUAAGUUCUAAAAGAUAGCAAGCUAGUGCAUUCAUUCAUUAGUACUUCACCAGCGGAUAGGGUGACUUUCUCGUUCUCGACCUUUCCCCAGUCCCCUAUUCGCCGAACCAUUCCUUCCAUCGUGAACCUUUAUCCCUGAGUCAACCGAAAAAAUAUCCGCCUCCCCUCUUAUUCAUUGAGAAAGGCAGGGGUGGGGAUAUCUACUAAAUAUGCUCGCUCCUAUUAGGAGUAUAUUUACUAAUGAGACUCCUCUUUUAGUUUCAUUCUCUGAAUAUGCACCUCUCCCUUUCAUUCCUUAACUCAUUCAUCCAUGAAUUUCUUUCCCGCUACCCCCCUUUUUGGUAGGAGAUAGUUUCCUCUCCCGCUUAAAUUCCUUGCAUCGGAUAGAAGCAGCCCAUGGAAUGAAUUUCGAUACCAUCUCCUUAUCGGUUGGCGGAAAGUCAUCUCUUGGGCAGUCGAAAGGGGGGCAACGAAUCGUCGAAUGAAUUCCUUGUGUCGGGUGGAGAGAAGAGGGUGGUAGAUAGAAUGAACAGUCGACUGCUAUGGGAGAGGGAAUCAACUAGGAACUGGCAUCUCCUGGUCCCUUCCAACCAUUAAAGGUACGUGCUUAUUACUAGGAGUGUCAGAUGCAACCUGUGUGCUCAGUCCCAAACUGUAUUGAUGACCAAGCGCGCAGUCUUUAUAGCGCGCUUUUCAAGCGCUUACCAAGCAAGCAAGCCGGCAUACUCAGAGAGCUCUUCGCCUUUGGUCCGAUGUGGGGGCCCUUUCUUAUUGAAUGAAGUAGGCGGUAACGGUAAUAAGCGACCGAUCAUUAGUAAGAGACGAAGACAGGGCCAGACGAGAUAUUGAAAGGCUUGAAUGGACAGGUAAGGGACAGACUGAUUGCACCUACCAGGCACAGGACUUAUUGGCUUCAGAAGCAAGCCAAAGAAAGAAGGGAUUCGCUUACAGAAGUACUUUCCAUAUUUUGAAAGGGAAUAUAUAUAUUUGAAGGAAGGUACUCGUGUACGGGAAUCGAAGUGAUUAGAACAGAACUGAGCUUGCCAGCCAGGAAUGAAGAAGCAACGGACGCUAUUUGUGGACAGAGCAAGGGACAGAUAGAGGAAUGGUUUACCUCCUCUAUCCUUUCCAUUAAUUGAUUGCAUACCGUCUCGCUUCUGUUUACCGUACGAUUAGCUGUACUUCUUUCCGAAUGGUUGAUAUAACCAUUCCCUACUGACUCUAUUAGGGGCAUACUCGAUAGUCGUCUUUCCUUUCCUGUACUAUUCAAAUUGCCCUAUUUUUUCUAGUAAGGGGAAGGGCAGACCGCUUAUCAUAAAACAGAAGAUCGAUAUCGCACAGAAGGCCUGAUAUCGCCCUAUUUGAGAUACUGAUUCAAGUUAUAGUACUUCUUCUUCCUAAGAGCGAUUGAACUAGCCUUUUGACUAAAUAGAUAUGAGCAUAGAGAGGGAAUCCUGAACUACAGGAAAAAAGGAGAGCAGCCAGCCUUUAUAUUAUUAUAUAUUAGCGGGUAGGUUUUUCUUUUUCCUGAAGCUUAGAUGAGAUUAGAGAUGAAAAAGACGCUAGCAUUAGCAGAAGAUCAUCGAUCAUACUUUCUUGCCUUAGCCACUAUUGAGUAAGAAAGAUUUCUACUUGCCUUAGAUCACUAUCGAGGAAGAUAAACUCAUAGCACAGAUGAUCCUUACCCGGGAAGGCAGAAAGAGUACCUGUUGUUAACAAAACGGAGUCUCAAAAACUCAAUUAUCGUAUUUUCAAGCAGAGCACCAGUAAAAGACCUAGAGGCCUAUGAAAGUCACGUUUUUACUUAAGAAAGAUGGCGCCUUUGCGAGGAUGUCUUUAAUCAGCCAAUGCCAAGGCAACAAAGCUAGCAUCAAACCUACCCGCCCAGAACCCUCCUUAAUUCCUACCAAGGUUCCCAUCCCCGAUGACAGAAGAAAGAUAAGCUAAAAUGGGAGCUGGAGAGGCAGGAAGAAAGAUUCUCACUUGGACAGGAGAUGCGGACGAGUUUUGGCCGAGCUCCAAGAAGCCUGGGAGAGAAGGAGGCAGGGCCAAGCUGAGCUAAACCUAAACGUAUGCAUGGUUAAAAAGAAGUGUACCCAAGUUCCUGUGUUGCUCGAUAAUUUGUUGAUCCUUUUUAUCUUUAUCCUGGUGGCGCUCUCUUACUUACUAUUUUUUUGGUGCUUUAGCCAGCCUUACUCAUCUAUGAGACAGAUGAGAGAGUGGGAAAAUGCGGUGUCAUGACUUUUUCCUUGAAAGGCAUCGUCUGUUGACGAAUCCAUUUUAAGCCUAAGAUUCCCCUGAGAAUGGAUCUCUCAUUUGGGCAAAAAGGCUGUGAAAAAGGAUUCCAAAUCAGGCUUUCCUCACUUGAGUAGAAAGCUUUUCAGAAAGGAGGAUAUCCUGAGCCAAGCACAAGCAGUAGUCUCAAAGAGUAAUGCAGUUGGAUCAAGAAGGCCGAAAGCCCGGCAGUAAAGCUCACGUUGUCGACACCUCUUGUCCGUCAGUGAGUGAUUUCUCGUAUGUGUAAAGACGGGUAGACCGUCUCAUCUCUUUCCUCAAAGUGGUGGAUCGAACUUCGAUCAUGUCACGAGAGUGGAUUCAGUUGGUUUCAUCGGUCAUUCUGCGAACCUGAACCUGACAGCUAUCACUUACUGGUCAAUGAAAGUGGGGUAAGUUUGACUCUGAUUCGGAGCUUGAAAGUCAAAGAGUCUCAUGCACUUGCUUAUGGAACUCUUGCUUCAAAGAAUAAUCUUCCUAGGUUGCCCUAUCUCUUCCUCUUCGGUUGUACUUUCCCUUUUCUUCCUGUUCAACUUGCCCAACUCUCACGAACUGGCAGUGGUUUUUCAGCAUCAAUGAGUCGACUGCUUUUUAUAUGACCUUUGCUUUUAGCUGCUGAUGUCUGACGACAAUGACUGCCUCACCUGAUGAUACAUAGCACUGAAUUGGAUUAGCGGACACAGAGUCAUGUAAAGCGAGUGGAAGGGUCAGACCAUCAAGUGGAUCGGAAUCAUGUAUAUAGGAAUCAGGGGCUAACGCAUGCCUAAACCGACCUGUCUUUCCUCUCCCUUAUCGAUCGAGCCUCACUUCCGCUCUCCUUCCCUAACGGAUAGUACGACCUCCUAACGGUCCCCUUCCCUUUGGUCGAGCACGAGCCUAAUCUAUCCCCUCUUUGCGUCAAACUUCUAUGUGGGCUGCGCCCUCCUCUGAUUCUACCUAUCCACCUGGAUUUUGGGGUCUCAAUGCCAUUCCUUGAUACGAAAUCUCCUUCUUGGCGACUCACUCAUUGAGGAAAGAAGCCCUACUCGCCGGCCUCAAUGGACCAAUGGGGCCACUCCUCGAUCCUUCUGACCCUGACUAAUCAAUCGGCUUGGAAGUUGGAAGGGAGAUGCCAUGACAAACUCAUCCAAUCAAGCUCGUCUGGGAAUCUUUCUCUGACUUGUCCUUCGGGGAAGGGAGCUAGAUUCGUAGAAAUCGAGAAGAAUGGCAGCUUUGACUAACAGGAUAGGGUGCCAAGGAGAGGGUUUCAUUGAAGAAGUCAUAGUGCGGAGAGGAGCUCACCUUCAUCUAAAGAGGGAGCCUUGAAGCCAAAGCCAUCUUGGAUCAAUUGGGAACUUCAUCGGGCACGCACCUUUCAUCGUGAAUGAUUAUGCUCAGGGAGCCCCAACUAUAGCCAUUUCCUUCCAUAAACAACCACGGAAAAAGCAAGAGAAGUAGCCCCAGUCAGACAGCAAAGUCGCAAAGGUAAAAGGGAGAGCAUCAGGUCAAUCAGUCGAUGAUCCGGUGGAUCAAUUCAUUAGUCUUGCAGUUGGUCAAGCCAAAGACUGAGUCGACUAAGCAACUGUGUAAGGAGUGGAUGAUCAAUAAUUCACAGCAAAAGUGGAUACAAGAACCGAGUUCAGUAGUCGAUGUUGAAGUCGUGCAAGUACUGAUCUCUGAACCAGAAGCAGCAUACUUAUCGACUGCUGUGACCAACACGCACCAGCAACAGCGCUCGAAAGUCAGAGUGAACCAAGAGAAGCUGAACAGACGGAGUGCAAGUGCAUCCAUGGAUCAGAAAAGGAGUGAGUGGCUUCCAAGGUGUAGGUGGGGGAACGAGUGAUGGACCAAGCAAAGGAAAGGGGGAAGAAUCACUGGAAAGACGCUGCUUUGGUUGACCAGCGAACAAGCACGAGCCAGGCAAUAAGAAAGCAAUAGCCGAGGUUGGGUCGUCAGGAAGGAUAGCCAACAUAGAAGAGCUUUUGCCCAUUCCAUUAGUCGAAGCGAAGUCCUGUCCUUGGAAAAUGAUUUGAUUCACGUUUCCUAUCUCCCCUUGAUAGAAAAGGGAUCCUCGCCUGCCAAAGGUUCUUCUUCCCUCUCUGCAAAUGGUGAUUCCACAGCAUCUGAGUUCAUCAAGCGAAGAACAGAGAUCCUUUCUCGAUGAAGGUCUUCUUAUCUUAUUCCUCUGGGAAAGACGUGGUUCAUGAGCCAUUGACUCGAUCAUCAAGUCGAAAUAAGGCGCUUUCUUGAGUUCUUUUACCCAUCUAUUGUACCGUGGGGAGCAGCAUCCGAGCUAUGGGAUCGCUAGCUUAUGAAAGAUCAUAGAUCGGGGACAUCUGACUGAGAUAGAUCGUCAUCUCCGGGCGAACCUCUCUUUGUCGAUCAGGUAACUAUGAGAAUGGUUCGAUAUGUGAAUUCAAAGAAAAUAGGGGACAUAAGGGUUCUUAUGCAGUUGUUCGAAUCCUACGCCUAUCGCCUACCUUAUCUGCCGAUUUAUCGUAGAUAACAGAUGUGAGCGUUGCCUCACAAACCUAUCCAAAACCCACUUUUGUUGUCAGGGCGUUUCGCCCGACAUUUUCAAAAGUGUUCUUCAUAUAUAUAAUUAAUAAAUUCCAGAUCUAAGGGCUCCAUGGGCAGAAGGAUAAGGAAGGUCAGAAAAGCUAGCAGCGGGAAAGCGGUAAGGGAAGGCAAUCGGUAAUAGUCAGCUGGCGGUUCGGUUCGGUGGAAGAAGCUGUAAGAGCUGUCAGCGGUAAUAGGCACUUCAAUGAAGCAGCAGCAGUAGAAUCAUCAUUAGUGGAUACAGCACCAACAACAGCAGCAGAUCCAGAGGCAGUUCCAGUCCUUGUCGCAGCGCAGUAGUUAGUAGGUGAUCCAACACCAGAGAGAAAAGACGCAGCAGAUUCAUAUACUGACCUUAGUGAUAUAGAUCCAUACCUAGGUACAGAACGAGACCCAUUAGUGAGGUCCAUAUCGGUAAUAGAAAGACCUGCCACAAAAGCAUUCCGAUGGAGCAGAAGUAGACCCUUCCCCCGCCAUAAUAGCACCACCUAGCUUCGCUGCAUCGGGAUAGUAGUAGCACAUAUCUUUAUAUAGUGAUCGUGAUAGGGAUAAUGAUACCAAUGAUAGAGUUGACCUAGCCUAGCGACAUCCAUCCCUUGUCUCCUACUGGUUUGUCUCUGAAAAUGGUUCUAAAUAAUGGUAUACUCCGGCUAGCGAAGAGGACAACCGAACCAACAUAUUAAGAAGAAGUUAAGGUCUCGGUUCCGUCUAUAUUCAUAGAAGGUGAUGUCGACGCUUUAGUUUUCAUUUUUUAAGAAAGGUUAAGAAGAAUAUCCUUGGCUAAAUAAAAGAAAGAAAGCCGAGCACGACUCCUAUCACUUUCUUAUUAGUCAGUCACUUCAGGCUUGGGUCACAAGCGCUAGCACAUCGGGCUUCUUAGCCUAAAAAAUAAGUGCUUUCCACCUCUUUCUUGCUGCAGUUGCAGGUCGAAGAUGAACCUUGCUGUUUAGUUUCUGCGUGACAAAUACGCUGGAUUGUGUUACGCGAAAAUGACGCCAUGCCCGGUUUAAAGAUAUAACUAUUGCUGCUUACUCCAAUCCUAAACAAGCAUCAAAACGCACAUAGGCUAGCGUGAGCGGUAAGGAGAGAAAGAAAGCAGCAAGCCAGCUAGCCCCCCGACAACUAGAGCGUAAGCAGACGCAGCUGAAAAAACUAGACGUCAUAGGCUAGCUCAAAACGUCGAGGUGAUAGCUUGAGGUCCUAAUCUGACUGAGUUGUAUUUAGGAUAAGCGGGAAGGCUCAAUAGAACGGGAUCCUCACGUCUACAAUGGAGCUUCGCCUUGACUACAAAGUUUAGGGUGCUUCACUCACGCGGCUUUGCUAGAUGGAUGCAGAAUAGUUGGAUGGAGUCUCGCUCAGUCAAUUAGUCUAGCCUCCCUUCCGAGUCAGAUUUUUUCCGGAAUUUUUUCUUGUCAAGUGAAAAUGGAGAUUCAAAAAUGGUUGGAACUAUUUGAACACGACGUUUUUUGGGGAGUCGGCAUCCAUUAUGUGGAAGUUGGGUCACAUCGUGGAUGUACAUAAUUGGAGAUUGAUCUCCUACUCCUUCACCUCGAAAACCUUCUCUCCAGCUCAAGAUCACUUUAUUCUUUUUCCUGAAAUAAGUAGAUCCUUUCACUUUCAUGACAACUGACUUCAAACCCAUCUUUCUGGCGGAUCGCCCGACAUGUUCCGCAGUUGCUUCAGCAGCAUACCGAGAAAGACGAGACCGCCCUUUUCUUUCCUCCAAACAACCUGCGGAGGCCCCAGUCUUUUUAUUCCCCCUAGCAUCUGUCACGGUCACAAAGGUCUUAUUUUUGAUCAGUAAGACAUGGACAAAAUCUCUGUUCUUUUUCCGUGAACAUUGCUCAUCUUCCUCCGAGAUGCUCUGUACGAAGUUCAUGGAUUUGAAACUGCCCGCACCCGCAAGCCCAAGCCGAUCAGUCUCGGCCGUUGUUUUUUCCUGGGGCAUCCUAUGUGAAAAGUGUUGAGAAAGCAUUUUGUUUUUUUAUUCUUUGUCUGCUCCCCCAAAAAAAAGAGAGACUUGUCGGAAAUCGCCGGUUGGGUUGGUCCGACCAAGAAAGACAUGGGAUGCACUUUUUCGUUUCGAACCAUACCUCGAGGAGAGGUGGAAGUGAAAGACUGGCUACCUAUAAAGAUCCCUCACUGCACACUUUCUAUAGUUCUGUAUCCAGGAUCGGCUGCAUGCUCGAGUUAUGAAUCGGGUAUAGAACCCAGGAUGCUUGGUUACAAUUCCGAAUCCGCUAAACCAUGUUUCUUUUCUUUUUUUUUGUCGAAACUAUCCAUGGGCAAUGAGUUUCGAUGUAUUGGGUGUAUCCGUUCUUUAUUUAAAGAAUUAUUUUCGUGCUUACGUCAUUUGCUUUCGCGUCCUUUUCUCAUUCAUUUUCUUUUAUCCCGGAACACUAACGAAAUCGCGGUUUCCUGAACUGAAGAAUGUGAACCUUAUAUAAUCAAUAGAAUAGAACAGCAUCUUUGGUGAAAGAAAGAGUGGUUAGGUCAGAAGCAUCUAGCACGCACUUCAAUCCAAACAAGCAAUAAGCAAGAUGAAUCUCUUUUUCUUUCUAUUCUAUAAUAAAUGAAAUUAUGUAAUCAGGGCUAAAGCACAUACAUAUGGAGAGGUGCAAAGGACAGAUGUGCCAGUUAGAUGAUAAUAAUUACCAGGGUCUGCCAGCGGUAUUUGAUUGAAAUAGUGCGGUACGAAUUACUUUCAUCAUUUAUAUACCCCAUCUUAAUAUAAUAAGAAGAAGACGUUAUAGUCACUUCUAACUUCAUCCAAUCAACUGCCUUGAAUGCAAUGCCUCUCCUAUUUUGAAAACGAACAAAAGAAAGAAAAAACAGGAAAGGCCAUUGGAAGGAUGCGAGCGGGAAGAUCCAUCUCAGACAGAGCAGACGGGGAAAGAGAUAUUAAAUGAAAGGUGUGCCAGCAGAUAUGUAUUUAUAACAGAAAAACCAAAAGCGGUGAGCUGACCUACCAACGUGUGAAUGUUUUAUUCAUGAAUUAUUUACUGUAGUCACAUCCUCAUAAAUAGUUCUAUCCGAUAGGCGUCUUGCAGUCUCUUAGGUGAUAGCGGAGCUCUUCCGUGGGGAAGCACCUAACCAUAUAGAAUAUUCGCACCUUAGCUAUUCUAUGUGAUCUUCCUUGAGCCCCCUAUCGCCUGCUAUCGCCGGCCUGGAAUGAAGGGAGGGCUUCCACUAUCCUACCAGAAAUGCUUGACCAAACUCCAAUACCAAGAAUUGAUCCUGCUGAAGCUUCCUUCGAUUUCUUUUUUUUUUGCCUUAAAAAUCUAGUUUCUUGGCAUAAGGACUACUUAUACUUAUAUGGAAUGGAAGUGGAAUUCCAUCCUAAGAAAAGAUUUUCGCAAUCCCUGGAAGGCCAGAGGUCUUCUUUCUUCUGUCGUCCUGCUAGCUCAAAUCUCGUACUAUAUACUUUUGACUAUACCUGAAAUCACUAUCGAAAAAGGGCUCUCUUUUUAGGCUAGUUAGGGUAGGGAGUGAAUUCUACUUUAGACAAGUCUAGCAAAGCAGCUCAUCUGGUAAGACGGUCAUCCGUCCAACCUCUAUCAAUCGGUCUUUCCUCUUUCAAUCGCUUGAAUCGGUCCAACCGGGAAUCGUCGAAUCUCUAACGAUCGCAUCUGUCUGACUGAUGGGAGAGAUCGGCUCUAUGGCCGCUUUUCCUUAAACUUCAGCCCUCUUUAAGCUCUCUUCUAGGGAAUUUGCUUGGUCUAGUAACAAGUCUCGAUAAGCUGUCGCAAUCAGGCAAUUCGUUAAAAGAGAUAUCUGAUCGAUCUGUCUUUCAAUACUUCCUAUCUUCCUGCUUGGGAAUCAGUAUCUGUUGCAAUCGCUCAUUUGUUCUGUUCUGUCGCAACUCUCGCAUCUGGAAUACGGGAAAGUCUUCCCAUAUUAACCUUUUUGUAAAUUUCUCUUCUAUUGUUAGCAUUGGCUAUCGGUCAAUUCCGAUUCCUUUCCUUAUAAGUAUUUUGUCUCCUUCAUUGAUUACUAUUCUAGAGUGACUUGGAUCUAUCUUAUGAAAUCGUCGAAUGAAGUUCCUUUGAUUUUCCGGUUAUUUCAUAAGAUGAUCAAAAUUCAGUGUGGUAUAAAUUUGAAGAUUUUGAGAUCCGACAAUGGGGGAGAAUAAUAGUUCUCCAAGAACUUUCAAGCUUAUCUGCAGGAACAAAGGAUUGACUCUCAAACUACCUGUCCAUAUACCCCCAAAAAAGAAUGGAGUAGCUGAGCGAAAAAAUCGGCAUCUUUUGGAGGUUACCCGUGCUCUUCUCACCGAGAUGAAGGUACCUAAUACUGGUAAGAAAGAAGCUGUCUUAACUGCAUGUUAUUUGAUUAAUCGUAUGCCCGUUCUAAGUGGUAAAUCUCCUAUUUAAGUGUUGAAACCUGACUCACCCCUGUCUUUCCUAUUUCUCCUCGUGUUUUUGGUUGUGUUUGCUUUGUUCAUGACUUGAGUCCUCUCAGAAACAAACUUGAUUAUAAGUCUUUCAAAUGUGUCUUUGUUGGAUAUUCUAGCGGGCCACCCCAAAACAAAUAAAAGAUUUGUGUCCAUGGAUGUCACUUUCUUUUAAAAUCUUUCUUAUUUCUUUUCUCUGAAAAUGGUAGUACUCUUUCGGAUCCCUACUCUCCUCAGGGGGAGUAUGGAGGUCUGGAGGAGAGUAGUGUUCUUACUGUCGUCAGUUAAAAUAUUCCCAUGUCUAAAGUGGAAAAUUAUAUGGAUUCGAAAGAGGGGGAGUCUCAAAGUAGUGAGCAGCUUGGUCAGCAAACCACGGAAUUAAAGACGUAUGUGAGGAAAAGGAAGAAGGUCAAUUUGUCGAAUCAACGAUCCAUCACCAAGACUCCUCCUUGGAUCCAGGUACUUCCUCUCUUCCUCCUUCUGUUGUUUAUGAUCUGUAUUUACCUAUUGCCUUGAGGAAAGAAAAGAGAUAUUGUACUUCUCACCCUAUUAAUCACUUUGUGUCCUAUCAAGCUUCCUUCCUUUAAAGCUUUCCUUUCAGCGAUUUCUUCCACCAAGAUACCUGGAAGAAGCCCUCAAUCAUCCUCAGUGGAAGAAAGCUAUGAUAGAAUAAAUGGAGGCUCUAAAGAAGAACGACACUUGGGAACUGGUCACGUUACCAAGAGGCAAACGUACGGUUGGCUGCAGGUGGGUAUAUACCCUGAAACACAAAGCUGAUGGCUCUAUCGAGAGGGCUCGUAUUGUGGCGAAAGGUUUCACACAAACCUAUGGCAUCGAUUAUCUCGAGACCUUUGCUCCUGUGGCCAAACUAAACUCAAUUCCAUACAAGUCAUUCUGUCAGUUGCAGCUAACAGAUCUUGGCCACUGCAUCAGCUCGAUGUCAAAAAGGCCUUUCUUCAUGGAGACCUCCACGAAUAGGUUUAUAUGAGUCCUCCACCAGGUUUUCGAGCUCAGGGGGAGGAAGGGAAAGUUUGCAGGUGAAAAAAAAAGGCGAUAUAUGGUCUCAAGCAGUCUCCUCGGGCUUGGUUCGAGAUAUGAAGUUUGGUUAUGACGAAGAUAGAUGGGUUUCCAGAGAAGCAAUGCUGAUCAUUCCGUGUUCAUAAAAAGGAGAGAGACAAGAGGAAACUACUGUUCUCCUAGUGUACUCAGUUUAGAACUCUAAAUUCACAAGUCAAAUAAUGAUAUUAGUCAGAAAGGCAGCUAGUAAGCAAGUCGAGUAAGACAGCUAUUAUUAAGUCGAGCGAGCUUUCGCUAAUACUAAUCAAAGACGAAAAGCUAAGGUAAGAAUUUGCAUAGAGAUGAUAGGCGCUUAUUGUGGAGCUCGAUAGUCUCCCUUAAAACCGCUACCGAUUCUUGAACAGAAAGCGGUAUGCUUGCGAAGACCAUUUCUGGUCUAUCCGUGUUAAUGAAAUCCAUCCCGUGAAACAAAGGAUAGUUCAUUCUUGGGGUGAAUAAAUAGAGACUACUGCUACGGGAUAGACCAAAACUUCGGGAUCAACCUCAAUGAAUUAUGGCGUAACGGGCUUGGUAUAGAUCCGUAGCCCGCUCUGGGUCUUUAACCGAAACUGGGACUAGGCAUGGAAAAGCUCGAUCAAUGUCCUCCUCUCCCGAGGUUAGAAAUGUGGAGGUACCUUUCCCGUCACCUGUUAGCUCUGUCCGCCACGGGUUAGCGACAUAAAGUGCGAAUAAAGGUUCAUCGGGACAUUUUUCUUCGACAACUGAACUAUCAUCACCGUUCUUAAGUCUAGACUUUUUUUGGGGGGGGUCAUAUUCAAAAUCUCGCAAAGCUUCAUUCUACAAGCAUUCCUAUUUUAAAAGGUAUAUGGAUUCCGGAUUGAAAAUAUGGAUAUAUUUCAUUCUCCUUUUGGAGACCGACCCAUCUUUCUCUCUAGAGGGGCCCAAAAGAUACAAAUACGCUCCUGAGGAGUCUUCCUGGGAAAUUGACUCCUUCCUUUCCAACCGGAUUCAUGAGUGAAGGAAAAGAUCAGAUGGAAAGGACUCUCCUUCCUUCUCUCUCAUCUGCUCGGCUACGGAUAUCUGCUCUACAGCGAGUGAUGAAGCUUCGAGUACCCAAUCCAUCUAUAAGGUUCCGGGAAAGAGGGAUAGACUAAAUGUGAGAUGGAGCAAGGUUUGGAACAAUCUCGGCGGGCUUGCCAAUCCGUCGAGAUUAGUCAACUUUCCUUUUAUGUUCGACCAGGAAGGCUACUCCUCAUCCCUACUUUCAGCGGCGAUCAGUCUAGUCUAGUAGGCUCUCUCGCCAGUGAGUUCGGCUUUUCAUUUCGAAUAAAAGGAAAGAGCUUAUAGUUUUUCAUACCGAAAAAGAGGCGGUAGAAGGCCUAAAGUCCUUCUCAUUUCAAUCUCAAUCAAGAAGGGCUUAUUCUAUGCAAUUGAUAGGCUCUUCUCUCUUUGACCCUUCCCUUGGUUGUUAUGAUCUCGUUGAGUGAGAUAGAAGCUCAAAUCAAUUUCUUAGGGAGCAGUGGUUCUUCGUACAGAUUUGGCCUAAGAGCGGUGAUUACGGGAGAAUGUUUUUUGGUUCAAAACAAGAAAAUUCAUCACAGGAGAAAAAAGACAGUGUAGACGAUAGAUUCAUCGGAUAAAGAGUAUAAACGGAAACGGAGACAUUAGACGCCAGCUUAGACCUUGGUAAGCGUUUCUUCUUCGAAACCUCAGCAGAUAUGGUUUUAUAGGACGAUUUGUCCAAAACAGACCUUGCUCGCAAUGACCUAUGUUUCUUUAGUAAGAAAGUCCGGUUUAAGCCAAGCCAUCUCAUACAUAAAGUCUGACUAUUAGUCUUGCUGUUCUUUCAAAUCCAUUAGCGGUGCCGCCGUGCUUUUGAUUUUCAUGCCUUCCAAGCAGUCGAAUUGAAUUGGUCGCAUCUGCCUUCCCGCUUAGUGAAUCUCUAAGGGGCGUAAUUAAUCCAAUCUCUCAAUCGGUUGGUCAAAUGCAUUGACAUUGGCGCAUUCGAUUUCUUCUUUUCCAAAAGUGGGUUCAAAUCCCCUUGCCUUGCUGCUGAGUAUGCCCUAGUUUUUUUCUUCUCGAGGAGUGGCUAGCUCAUUUCUUUAUCCACCAUUGAAUUGGAAGUUGCGGGAUCACCCAUGAUGGCUGUUUCAGUUCUUGAUUCAGUUGAACUGCCCGGCCGAGCUCUUCAAUUGCUUCAAGCGCGUUUCGUUCUUCUUGAAUCUCUCGGAAAGAGGAAGAGGCCCCUGCGCGAGCUGCAAUCAAACUAAAGCGCGUUAGCUAGGCCGUUUUCAAUAAGGGGCGCGUUAGCGCUUUACUAAUAGAAUAUAUAGGGCUUUUCUCGCUUGUUUAGUAAAGUCGACGUUUUUGCUUCGUUCCACUUCCUUAACGGACCUACGGACUAGCUAAGGUUUACUUACAUAGUUGUUCUUUCUUUUCGCAAUUUCAAGUUAAAGCUAGCGUUUUUCAGCUUGCUGUUUGCUUUGGUCGAGUAGCUUUCUUCCUUCGCUUUUGAAUGAAAUCAGCAGUAAGAGUAAGUAAGUGUUUGUUCUCUUUCUUUCCUCUGCUUAUUCCGCCCAACGAAUCGGCUUUCCGCUCGACCAAAUAGUCAAAUGCCCGGUUAGGAUAUGUGGAGAAGAAGCUCCUAGCAUAUUUCAGGAUGACUUUCGUUUCAUAUUCCAGUCUUGCAAUAGGAUUGAAAGGCUAUGAAUGUCGAAUGGUCCCAUAGGCGCUUUCGCCCGCCCCUGAAUAAGCAGUAAGGCGUGGGCGCGUUGGAACGAUCCCGCUUUGAAAGCUCAACCUCGGGAGAAUCAGUUUCGCCGGUCCAGUGACUUGGCAUACAAAGGCGAGUAGGGUUCUCCUCCAUGUGGUGCACUCCCGCUUCUUCAUACCCGGAAUAAGUUUGAGCUGCUCCAAGGGACAGCUUUUUGCUGCCGGAUGAAGGUCUUACGUCGGCUAAGAAGACGGAAAAUUCCAUCUCUUUUGCGGUCCUGGAGAUCGGGGAGAUAAGAGUUCGCCCACCCUAUUUUGAGUGGGUGCUCGCAAGGUCAAAGUCAAAAAUUCUAUUCUUUCAUUAAUACAGGGGUAGUGGGGAAUAAAUAGUUUAAGUGAUUCACACCUCGAAGUAGAGUGUGUAAAUACCGGAUGCGUAGGUUGAAUCAUUCGCUAAACAACUAUUUUGUUGGGCGAUCAACCAGGUGCUCCUACCCAACCGGACUAAUGAAUGCCAACUGGAAGAACUCACUUUCCUAUCGUUCAGUAGGAGAUCCCUUCUUGUGGCUUGAAAAUGAUUCCCUGUUGCUAAUGGGGAGAGAUCUUUCAUUAGGGUUUGAUGCUCCUCAAUGGAGAUCCCCAGAAUAAUAGCUUGCUUGUAGAACCCUUUGUUUGGUACUUUAAUGGGGGUAUUCUUGUACAGCUUGGCCCUUUCCCUGGCGCACUGCCAUCGAAUCUACUAGUCCUCCUCAAACCCAAUGGGAUAGAAUUCCUUGCGAAUUAGAGUUUGAAAUUUCUUCCGUGACAACCCAGAAAUGUCAUGGUUGCUCAUAUAUGCAUUCCAUCAAGUUAGUGCAUAAUUUGACGAUUUCGAUUUUCUUUCUCCGAUCCAGUUCGUUCUGUCUUCUUUCCGACGGAUCAGCCCUAUUAGAGAAGGGCUUCCGAUUCUGUAUGACAACAGAACGAGCAUUCGCUGGACGGCCAAACAUUGAAUGAAAUGUUGGCAUGGGGUUUCGGCAAUUUCAAUUCCAUUUUCAGUCUUUUCAAAUGGAAAUUGAAAUUGUAUACGCCGGUUGAAGCACACGUUGGAGCAUCCAAACGAACCAGCAGGGGCUGCUGUGGCAGAGACAGCAGCAAAAGCACUAGUCUCCGUUGAUCACCUACCAGCAGGGAAAGCAGCAUAGGUGGCAGGAACUAACUAGGGUUUAGGUACCAAUUCGAAGAGCAUUCGUUUACCGGGGUCGAGAGCAGCCAGCCCUAGAGGUACCACACUAACAGCGGCAUCCCGACCUGAUACGGAUCCCUACCUCUCUAUCCACAACCGACCCUUCGAAAGCUUAUUUAUUUACUUGAGGCAUAGGCAUGGGCACAGGUGGAGACACAAGCAAAGGCACCAAUAAAUAGCUACAUGGGUCGCAUAGAAGCUUUAAGAGAUAGGGGGGCAUCCACCGAAGAUGGCAGCGCAACGGAAGCACGAACGAGGUAGCUUACGCUUUUUUUUUCAUCCUCACUACCUGGUUUAUAGUCGAAUCCGGAGAAUAUGAACUCAAAACAUUCUGAUUUUUGGUACGUUGCUAUGAGCAGCUCUGGUGCUCGAUCUUGGGUCUUAGGUGUGGGUCGGAUCAUGAUAAAGAAGGUUCGGUGGUUGUAUAAUUCCCAAGCGGAAAGUAGUCUACUUGCAAAGUAGAUGGGGUGAUCAAGCGGCCCUUCCUGCGCCAACAUACAUCCAAUGGCAUAGAGUGAUGCGUCAGUAUGAACAUGAACUCCUUAUUCCAAUCCGGAAACCGAAGGAUUGGGGCUGACAGCAAACACUCAUCUGCAUGCUUAAAGGCUUAAUCCUGUUUCGGUCCCCAACCGUUAUACCUUUCUUCUGCAAUGAUUCCAUUCCGGGGUUCCGCGCUUCGCAAAGUGUUUAAUGAUGCGUCUGUAAUAGCCUAUGUGUUCCAAAAAAGAACGCGCUACGCCCGGCCCCCUUUUUCAGUAGAUGAGAUUAGGAUGAAAGGGCUUGCUUUCAUUAACAUUCAGUGAAGGUGCAUAGCUUCUUUGAAUGUCCCGCUGAUUGACUACUACAUCUAGGGACGGGACUGAUCCCGAAAGAGAGGUCUUUCUUUCUGGUUAUGAAAUCGCUUAGGUUGAAAAGCAAGUCGAUGAUGCCAUAAGUCAAACGGGCGGGUGAGGCGAGAGUCCUUCACUGCACUCACUGGAGAGAAGGGAUCAUCUCCAAUCUAGUUGUAAGGUCUUGUCCCCUUAUUAGUAGCCGAAGUGUAUGCCGGGUCAUUUUUGAUAAAUUGAUAUGUGCAUCGGAAUACUUUAACACUUUAAAUAAGCGUUAGUCGACCUCCGGAGGACAACAAUUUGCUUUUCCAACUGUCGAUUCUCUUUUUCAUUUUCUCCAGUAGAGGAAGGCAAUGCUCUCUCUUUAUUCUCUUGGGGGACAAGGGAAGAUCCAGGUACUUUAUAGGAAAACUACCUUUUUUUAUUCCUCCUCAAUGAUCUGGAAUUUCUGCGAGGAGCUCUGUUCGAGAAGAAGCACUGGCUCUUAUCGAAAUUGACCUUUUGGCCAUUACAAUCAGCUUCUUACUUCUUUCCAGAAAGAUUUUCAGUUUCUUAAGAUUCCGUUUAUGGCCAUUAUAUAAUAAUAUCAAAAUAGUUCGCAAAGAGAAGGUGGGAGAGUGCUGGGCACGAUCUCAAACCAUGGUAAGGUGUUAUCAUUUUCAAUGAUACUAACUCCUGUAGGCCUCGGCUUAGCACUUCUUCAGCUAAAAUCAACAGGCUAGGUUUGGAACCCUUGUCGCAGCCCUCGAGAAGCUGGAAAGUACUCAUGUGGCACACCAUCCACAAGCACUCCAAAGUUUUCAUUACAUAAACAUCCAUGUAUCAAAUUCCGCCAUUUAUCACAAAAGCCGAAAAUCACACACACGCAUUACCCCCAACAAGCCCAUUCGAUCCAAAAAGAUGCUUUUGCCAUAUCCUGAGUUUCUUUUGACCCCCCCUCCCUCCUACUAUUAAGCUUUUUGGUUGAAAUCCUUUAUCACUUAAAGCCACCUCGUGAGCCAAGGAGAUCUUCUCUACAAUAGUUAGUCCUUUAACAAAAGCCCCUUGUUCCUUAAAAAUGAUUCUAGGGAGAAUCCAACUCAUUCUUCGAGCUAGAGAUCAUUUUAUAGAAAUAGUGACAAAGCUCUCCUUCAAAUAUCUCAUAAAUAAAGGUAGGUCGGAAUUGGUGAAAAUGUGAAGGACUUUCGACUUUCGGAAUAAGGGCAAUCAAUGAAAUUUGAAUUCAAUAGGGCUUAACAGCGCCUUCAGCAAAGAAAUUGUGAACCGCCCUGACCAGGUCGUCUUCAAUAAUCUUCCAACAGUGAGAGUCAAAACUGGGAAUCCAUCAAUUUAAAGGAUAGGGGAGGCACUCUAACCAGGCUCUAUUUUCACCGCAUCAUGGAUUUCCUCUCGUUAUGGCGUGGAAACCUGGGAGAUAUUUUCAGCAUCAGUGAUCAUCGUGGGAAUACAUCUAAGUAGAUUAGGCUUCAGGCGCCACCCCCCACUCGGAAACCAUGAAAAGCAGAGCCCUUGAAAGUGCUCAGCAGCUUUGGCCCCCACCUGAAACACAUCACUAAGGAUGGAGCCAUCAUCUUUAACAACUUCUUUUGAGUUCUUUCUGGAUCUUCUAGCUAAAGUGGAGAGAUGAAAAAAUCUGAUCUCUUUCUAUCGCCCUCCUUUCCUUUAGCCAUUUGAUACGGGAUUUCUUUUUCCAUCUAAUUUCUGAAUGUCUAAGGCAUACAUCAUAAAGAUUUUUUGCCUCUUUUUCUUCCUGGGCUAACUCCGCAGUCCAUCCCACCCUUUCCAAGGAUUUCUGAAUGUCGCAGACCUGAAAUUCCGCUUCCUUGAUCUUUGAAAAAAUCGAUCCCACAACAUAUUUAUUCCAAAGUUGGAGGUCCCCCUUAAGUCGUUUCAAUUUAGAAAAGAAACGGUAUAACGGGGAUCCCCAGGCCGGUUGUUUCCAAGAGGUAGACACCACCUCCAAAAAAGAGUAGUAUGAAAGCCAAAAUCUCUCUUUUUUAAACGGCCGGAAGGCGGCGCUUUUAAGGCCAAUUUUUAUCAAGAGUGGGCAAUGAUCUGAUUUGAGUCAGGGGAGGUGCUCCACUAGUAUAUUAGGAAAGAUGGACAACCAUUUGCUGUUUGCGAAAACUCUAUCUAGUCUUAACCAGAUAUAAAGAGUCCUCUUACGAUUAUUACACCACGGGAACCUACUUUUAACAAAUCCCACAUCCAUUAAGCCACAAUCGUUCACAGCUUAGCUUCAUUAAAGUCCCUCUCCGCUAUGCUAUGCAGGAGUAGCCCUCCCAGUUUCUCUUCCGGUGACAAAACAGCAUUAAAAUCUCUUUUAAGAAGCUUUUUGGGGGAAGGGCGGGAAGAGCAAUUAGAGUCAUUUUUCUAAAUUCAUCCCACAGGUCUCGCCUAUCAAUAGUUUAACAGCUUGCGUGAACAAAAAGGAGGCGUACCUGAGUAUUUUAAGAUUUGAUCUUUGCGUUGGUAGAAAUGAAUUGGGCAUUGCCUUCAAUCAUGGACAGGUCAAGGAUAUCUUCUCUCCAAAAGACCAAGAUAUUGGCAGGGGAUUCAUCCGAGAUGUUCGACAUUCAUCCAUACGCAAUCUCCGCUUCAAUUUUGAUACAUAGUUGGCCCUUCUAACCAUUGGUUCCAGGAUGACAACCAAAAACUAAAGCCCGGUCCGAGCAAGAUCGUCGAGACGUCUACGCGUGGAAAAAACCUUGCAUUCCAAACAAUUGCAAUUGUGGAAAUUUUUGAAAUAGAGUGGAGUGGGGCUUAGCCCCAAGUUUGGAUUGUGCCCUAGUAGUCGCGCUCUUACCCAGGUGCUGCCAUUUGUUUGCCUUGUUCGGAGGCUCCGGUUUCAAAUCUUUCUCAAAGAUAGAUGAUUGUGGGUCCUGAGAGGAGCUAUUUGAUUCUUAAUCAUGAUCAUUGGAAUGAAGAGGUUUUGAGGACCUUCCUUCUAAGGAGAAAGCGCGAACUUCUCUCUGUAUGGCAACCACUAAAAAAAGAUAGUUAACCAUCGGUUCAUUGGAUUCCGGGCCGGAUGGAGCCAGUGCAUAAUCCGUAGGGGGUCUUGAUUAUCAACAAAAUUUCUGCCAACUAGUUCCUCUUCCUGCUGUCCCCGUGAGGCAGAGCUACCGCCGGUAUUAGGGGCUGCGUUAACCGAAGGCGAUUUUCCAAUAGCUAAAUACUCCGGUUGUUGAAGAACAGGAGCUUGGGGAUUGUUAUCUGGUUCAAGCUCUUCGCCCCGAGGACCAUCUUCAAUGGUUUGCAUGUAAGCAGCAGCAACAUCUGAAUCACAAGGGCUAACUUCAGUGGUAGCAGCCCUGACUUACUUAAAAGCUUCUGGAUUGGUUGGGUCAUUAGCAUGAAAAAAAACCGGAGCAUUCUUUGCAGCUUCAGCCACACCAGCAUUCACCUCAGCAGGUGCAUUUUGAACAGUAGCCGCAUUAUCAGCAGCAGGCAUCGUUUCAGUGGUAGGUGCUGACCGUAUUGGUAGCAUUGGUUCUUGGAACAUAGGCCAUUCUCGGUGACGGGUUGACACCAGGUUCCUUAUUCGCCACUUAGCAUUCGUGACGGGCAUGACCUUGUCGUCUGCAAUGCGUGCAGAACUUAGGUAUUCAAAAAGAAACGAUUUAUUGCUAGUGAUCCAUACACAGUAGAUCCAAUCCAAACACGAUUUGGGAGGUUUUCCUUGAGAAGAUCGACUUCUACACAAACCCUAGCUACGUUGGGGCGUGAGACAAGCUUCGUAGGACCGGGUCAGGCCAAUUCCGAAAGUAGAGACGAUAGAAAACAGGCGAAACUCAAAGAAGAAGACAAUAGGCAGAUGGGGUCGCGAUACCCAAAUAGGCGCAUGCAUUGGAUCACCAUUGCGGAGACGGAAAUCAUGGCUCCAGCAGAAAACCCUAAACAUCAAUCCCUCAAUCAAAAACUUCUCUUUGUUUUUUGGUGCAUAUCUUCUUUGUUCGAGAGCUUGAUGAAGACGUGCCUUGGAUCUAACAGAAUGAUCGAAAGAUCUCCCUUGGUACGCCAGUUCUUCGGAGCGAUCUCCGUAGGAGCUGCCAACGGGACGCCCACCGCAGCGGUAGAAGACGAGGGGGAAGGCUUUUUCAACCCAUUCCUUCGUCGAAAUCCGUUCCCCAUCCAUUUAAGAGUAAUCACGAACAGCAAGAAAAGAAUCGCAGCAAGCCCUAUGUGUCACGAGCAGGCACCACGGGUUGUUGACUUGAAGGUGGGGGGGAAGGCUUUUUGGGAUGCAUUAUAGCACAGGCCGUGACUACGUUUUUCCGUUGCUUGUUGCCCCUUUAUUAGUAAGAAUGCUGUGAAAACACAAGCUUAACACGUCUGUCUUUAUCUUCUUCAUAUCUUCAUGUCUUUGUCGAGUUGAUUGGUUGACAUUAUUCGCUCCUUUCUGUCUUUUCAUUGUCCGCCUCUGCCCGAACAGAUAAGCACUAACCCACCCGAAAGAAGGUGAAACCCUUCUUUCCAACCAUGGCUAUCCUUGUACGAAUUGUUGACUCCUUUCUUCGUACAAAUUAGACCUAGCUCGUAGGCGAAAGAUACCUUCCUUUGCAAUACUCCUGUCGGCGGGAUCCGCCAGUGCCCCCGUGUGUAAGGCCCUUUCCUCAAAGAGGUCGAAUGGUUCCUGUCCUAUUCAUACUACUCUGUUGGCUUAUGUGGUAUGUCUAGCGGAUGGUGAAUCCUAUCCAGGAUCGGAAUUGGAUAUUUCCUCGGUUUCCGAGAAGUGUCUUAAUGGGUAUCCGACCGCCCUCUAGCAUGUAUGAUGGCUAUCGUGGCUUGCCGUUCUACCAGAUAUCAUGAUUCUCCCUAUUGUGCAGGUGCCUCUAUUGGUUUCUUCAAUUCCUCCUAUUCACGUUGCUGCCAUGGCCAACACAGGAUAUUCCUCUAACUCGUUGUUCCCACGCGCGUGUCAUCAGUGCAAAUUUCGAAAUCAUCUUACGCAUAACUCUUCACUCUGCUUGGGAAGUGUUCGGAGUAGCACGAAUAUCCUAUGAAGGGGUCGAUCGCUUCGCCAAUGGGACAGCUAACUACGAAAUGUCAGGAGUUAGGGGGGGCUAGCGACUCCGAGGGAAGGGGUGAAUAGACCACGAGCAGCACGCUUGCUUCGGAGGGGAUCCGCAAGGCUUUAGCCCAAGACUUAUUGGAAAGGUAAUGAACUAUGCGGCGGUGUUGACCCUGCAAUAGCUCCCUACCUAUACCGCUGCCGGUGCUUUAUCAGAUGCUGAGCCCACUAGUUCGAUGCAUCAAACCGCUACCUCUCCCACCCCUUCCUCCGAUGCCGGCUAUCGAUCUGGAGAAGAUGCAGGAAAUACAAUUUUGAGUGCUGUCAGCUCAUAUAGAUUUCCAUCCGCACAUGUACCUGGACUUUCUUCCAUAAAUGGCUCCGCGGAUCUCCAUCUGUACCUAGAUUCGCCACUGGCUUCUCACUCGUGGCAAGGCUUUUGAUCGUAAGUAGAAGCAGGGCCGGACGAGGCUAACUUCCCUCCCAAUCUCAAGGGAAGGGGCAGCCUCAAUAUCCAUUGAACUACACUCCUUCUCUCCAUCUGUUGUUCUCUGGCGUUAUCUGUUCAUGGGAAUCAGCCGGAGGGGAUUUCUCGAUCAAUGAUGAGGCUUUGGCACAGUUGUCACACAGAACACGAAGACACAAGCACAAAAAGAAGAGUUUUUAGCACACGUAACUUGAUUAGGAGAACCCUAAUUCCCAGGUUAACGGAGCAACACUGCCAUUCUUUAGUCUUAUCACACUAAACUGCUAUUCCUAUAAGAACGAGACGGAGCACGAGAACUCGAAUUACACUGCUGCGCGUCUUGCACUCUCUGUAAGGGAUGAAUUGUGACAGGGCGACCGCUGACCCUUGCCCGGGAGGAAUUCUUAAACCUGGCAAGCUAACUAAUUAGAAGAUUCAUUCUAUGGAACUCAACUCAAGAGAAGGUACGAUCACAGGGAUUGUGGUUGUUCACGCUACCAGAUGAGAAGAAGGAAUUCUACCGAACUUUUCACUCAGGCACGGGCGUCAAGGUCUUUGCUUGGCGUCUUGCCCACUUUCUUUUCUUUUUCGUGUGGAGCGCCUUUCCAUGCCACCAAUGGCAAAUGGUCUAGUCCCCAAGUUGGAAGAUUCGUCUACAAGUUCAAACCAAAGGUUCAGUUCAAAGCUAGGACUCAUCCCAAAGGCAAGGUCAAGGUUCAGUCCAACGCGAUGGGGUUAUUGUUCCGUGUCAGAAAGCUUCUUAUUCACUCACCCGAAUGCGAGAUCAUUUGCCAGAGCAGAUGGACGAAACCCGAACCAACGAACUCUACUUUCAAAGGAGUUCCCAUCCCUAGCUGACGAACAGCUCAACCUCUUCUUUCACAGAAAAACCUCUUGUUCCUCUCUCUUUGUUCAUUAGGUCAUGGUGUAACGGCUCGAAAUGCGCCAACGACACGACGGAAUUAUCUGCCGGUGCUUGAGAUUGAGUGAAAUGGGGUACCGGCUCGAAACUCGAAAUGCGAACACGAGUUUCCCCAUUAUCUGCCGCUCGUUUCCAUUAGAAGAAGGAAGGCCAAGGCGCUGCCAUUAAGAUGAAUGAGCAGGAACGGAACUUCCAUUCCACUGCACUGAACCUUCAACCAAGCUGGUCGGACUGAAGCAAAGGAUCAAUCACCUAGCCGGGCACUGCUUCUUGCUUAGUCCUAUCCCGAUUCUGGACCUAUGACAGCUCAACCAGGACUUAGAGAGGCGGCUAGCACUUUGAUUGAUCAGAAAGAACCUUCUUCAUGUGGAAGCAACAUCCGCUUAUAUUGCUCAUGCUUAGAUGGCUCAGCCGCCUGGGUAACUCCUAGCUCUUUCUCUCUAAAACUGAGGAGAAGCAACAAGUUUCAGGGGGCACUCCCGAACCCCGUUUUACACCCCGGACCCGAAGAACUGCUCUGCUGCUGGCCGAGUCACUCCUUGCUCUUUGCUUUUUUUGUGAUGGCAUGCUUCUUUAAUUCAAUCUUUCAUUUCAUUCAAUCGUCGAAAGAUUGAGCCUGUGUUCAGUUAUCGUGACUUACCUAAUAUAUCUCUUACGAUAUUUCAACUUAAGGGCCGGCCCCAGUAGGCUUUGACGGUUAUAGAUAGAAGUAGGAAACGUCAAUGAAAGCCUACAUUAGCGAGUAGCCAUAUUUAGGCGUAACUGACGGAACUACACUUGAUUUAGGAGCUAACGGAGGGUGUGAAACAGACUCCUGCCCCAUGGACAAAACUACACUAACGAGACGUAGGCUUAGUCAAGUCAAGCAAGAGAAAGAGCUUUAGCCGAGGGUUCCCUCGAUCAAACUCGAAAUUUCAUAAGAGAAGAAAUCUCGUAGCGUAGAAAAGAAAGGAGAAAUCGUUUUGAUUCGAGGCAGAUCCCUUUUUUGUUUGCCUUUACGAGUUGAGUAAACAAAUAAAAAAAAGUCUUCUCUUUGGAUAAAUCCUAUCUCUCGUCACAUAAGAGCGCACUAAAUAAAAAGGAGAAGCAGAAAGAGACGUCGUUUUUCGCGAUAAGCAAGAUAAGGUUCUUUCUAGUCUUCAUCUGAGCUCCGUCUUCUCGUAGAAUCCUCGCGCUUUAAGGGCAGGAGGUCGUAGAUCAAACUCCUUCUUUUUUAGUUCGACGCGUCUAUGGCUUUAGAGAAAUUCCUACUGUUGUUGCGGUUAGUGGCUUAGCGAUUCCAGCAGGAAAGUGACUUUUAGGCUCAGUUGACUUCUAGUCCCAUGCUCCAGGGCAAGCAGAUAGUAAGCGAGGCUUGAUCGGUAGGCAAGUGGCCGAAGAGGAAGGGAAUUCUGUAAGUGAAGAAAUUCUCUUCAUCACGAGAUCCGGUCUUCAAGCCAGCAACCAGAGCAGGAGUCAUCUUCUUAUCAGAGCGCAGACUAGCCACGGAGCUAGUCAAAAAAAAAGGGAUCAGAGUCAAUUGCGGUCGCCCUCAGUCAAGAUCAUGUACCCAUCUUCCUAUACUAAUCCAUACAUCCCUUCUCAGUCUAUGGACAGCUAUCUCUCUAGCCCAGUUGCGGAACCGAGAUCGAGAUCCAGGAGGACGACGUCGAAUUCUUCUUCCAUUUUGAGCUCAUCUACUACAGGAAUCUUCAACCUUCUCCUUCAAGGACUUCCUUUCCACCCGCAGGAGAAGGUACAAUCCAUCAAAUUGAUUCAUGAAGACAGUCAAUCUCAAUGUGCUGGUGAAGCAAAUCAUUCCCAUUUUCAGACAAAGAAGACGUGUAAAGAUCCCCUUUUCCAAAGGGACAAGCAAAAAAUCACCCUAGGCAGAAGACUCUUCAAUCUGCGGGUGGCAAACUCACUAAUGUCUCCUGCCUCUUGUGGACCUUCCUUCACUUAUUAUAUGAAAAUGGGGACUCUUUUUCUUUCUAUCCUGCGCUAAGGCUGGUUCGAAAUCCACUUCUUUCAUCAGGGAGAAUAAGACCACUUAGAUCAGGCUGAGCUACCUAAACUAGGGCCUCCAACGCCUAUAAGUUUGGAACUCUUUGAUUAUCUGAAAGUCAACUAUCUCCACCAUUCCGUUAUUCCCGUCUUCAAUCUCUUUCCAUCUCUGCCCUGCUCGGGGGCAUUUCUCUCCGGAGGGGACUCAAUUCAAGGAGGCAACUUUCGUGUAGACCAAAUCUCUAUCGCGAUUGAUUCCGUCCUAUUGUGGGCAGCUUCCUAACACCCCCUACUCCUAAGCAGUAAACUCAUCUUGCAUUUCUUUGCGAACAACAGAGGCAACCGAUUAUCCUCAAUUUUGUUCUAUCUACACUGAGUUACACUCAGCCUUCGAUCUUUCCACUCAUUCAUCAUAGUCAAAGUCGAAGCCACGGCAUGGGAGGCUCGGGAAAAGAAGGAGCUUUUUCGUCUUCACCGCCGACUUCCUUCGCUCAACUCGCUUACUUGAUAAAGAAAGUGACAACUGAACUAUAACUAUAUUAACCGACCUCACAGCCUAUAGUCAAAGAAGUUGAUUACCGUCUUCCUUUGUAGGGUCAAUCCCAGUAUAGCCGGUCUGACUCUCAGAGUUCGAUGUAGACGUGAACCCCUCACAAGGUUAGGUCUGAGGUAGGAAUCCCGAUUUUUUGUCCCUUAUUAAGUCGAAAGUCCUUCACAUUUUCACCAAUUCCGACAUCUACUUUUCUUUAUGGGAUGUCCCGGUCUGCCAAUGCAUAAAGAGAGAGCUUCCUCUUCGCAGAGAUUUCGCGGAAACCCAGCUAUAUCCGAUCUUGUAAGCGCCUAAUUCCAAGACAAUAAUGGACCUUCUUCAAUCCCAGUUUACGUAUCAGUCUAGUGUGACCAAGACAUGAACAAAGAACAAUUCCUCCCUUGCUUCGAGCACCCAAACCUCGAGCACGAGGGGGACUGAAAGCAGCAAAGAACGAGGAGAGAAUCAACUCGACUUAAAAGGAGAGGAGACGAAGGAGAAAGUCAGAUGGUAAAGGAUAGAGGACUGCAAAAUGGUGUGAUCCUGUGCUAAAAGAAGCUUUAUAGCUUUAUAGGGUGGACGGUUUUCGACUUUCUACCUAGAAUAAAUGAAUAGAAUUGUCUGAAAGAAUCGUAUAAUAGGAUAGAGUACGAGAAGGGGCUACUCUGUUAAUAUAAUAAUAUAGUAUAUCACAGCUAACGCACUCCUCUAUUUCCGAUACGCCUGUAAGCUCGCCUCAAUCUUAGACUUUGCCUUUAUAUGCUGAGCAGAAAAAAACUCUUUUACGGGCUAUUCUCCAAGCAGCACGACCUCGCUACCUCCCGAAGCUGCCUAGUCACACAAUGCAGUCGGAGCUAGAGACGAGGAUGGACCAGGCUUAUCCAGAAUCGACCAAGCUAAGCAAAGAGGAACCUCUUCCAAGCGGAGCAUCCACUAUGAGAAACAUGCUCCCUACAGCUACGAAGGAAGAAGAAGAUAGACAAUGCAGAGAAGCACCUAGACCAAGAGAGAGAAAGAAACUUUCCUCACUCAGAAAGGCCCAGACCACGCUGGGGAAAGAAUGGCACUUUACAACUAUUUCUUCUGCCUUAUAACGAGCUGGACUCGAACCAGCACUGCCAGAUUCGAAAAGAAUCAGGGUUCAACCUAAGAAUGAUCGUUAUUUGUUAACCCGGUUCGCCGAAAAGGCUACGUCCGGGGGGGCUUCUAUUAUAGUCCCCCCUUUUCCCCCUCCCCACCGUUCUACUUCUUGGAUAACUUUCACGGUCGCCUUGAAAAAGGCGCUCUCUUCCCCUUGCUCCUUUAUUUCGUUAAAUAGGGAAAGAAGUUGAUCCCAAUUCUUGCCAUCAUUAUUGGUGACAUGAUUGAUGGCCCAACGCCACCGAAGAGGGUGUGGUUGGUACGGAAAACUAUCCUUGGUCAUAUCUUGUAAUUGAUGGAUAAGGCUUUUCCGUAUUUCAGUACAGAGCGUCUCAUCUUUAUCUCUGUCCCUUUUCGGAAUUUUUCUUGCCUUAUUUUUUUUUCAUCUUUUUUUGGGGGGGUCCCAUCAGCACCACUACUUGAGCAGGCGACAGAAGAGGUUUUUCUCCGCUUCUGAUGCCGUUGUCCGGCAUCAGUUUCCAUGAAAAUAAUAAUUAUCAAGAUAAAGAUUGUACUACAAAUAAAAAGUAAUAUUUUAUCAUCGAAAUGAAAGGACUCGAAGGCAAAAUGGAUGGUGAUCAUAAGAAUAUAAUACAAUAUGUCCAUGUGUUUUUUUUUAUUCUUUUUCGGAAGCAAAGGGAAAAAAUAAUGCCUAAACUCUAAACUAAAGUCAAAGUCAAAGGGCUAAUCUGUUAUUUCUUCCAUGGCCCCUAGAAUGCCAAUAUUAGCACGGAUCGUACGGAAAUGUAACUCACUAUUCAAACAACUAUUCAGAGUUCCUAGAGCUCCUUGUAAGGCUUGUUGAAAAACUCGUUGUCGGACCUGAUUAAUCGCUCUUUGUUGUUCAAAAUGAAGGGUUUCAUUUUUGUAAUUUUCUAAUCGUUCCAAAGUGUCACAAGUGGCAUUAAUCAAAUUUUCUUUUUCUCGUUCUAUCUCAGAGUAUCCAUUCAUUCGAUACUCAUCUGCUUCUAUUUCCACUUUCCGUAAGCGAGUCCUGGCUCUUUCGAGCUGCUCAAUGGCCCCUCUACGUAAUUCUUCCGAAUUUCGAAUAGUACUCAAGAUCCUCUGUUUUCGAUUAUCUAAUAAAUCAUUUAAUGAAAGUAGAUUAUCUUACCAUUAAUUUCACAACUUCCAUAAUCUCUUCCCGAACCAAACAUGAAUCUUUCGAUUCAUUUGGCUCUCACGCUCAAUUAUUUAUUUUAUGUUAUGGGCAUUCCCAUAUCUUUUUUUUUAAUGUAAUGAGCCUACCCUCUCUUUUCUGUUUAUAUUCAAAAACAUCGAAACUGAUAUAAGACCAGAAUAUUAGAAGGACUCUUCCGACCAGACAAAAAUCUAUAAUUGUCAGCAAAGUUCUUUCUUUAUUUGUAUUUGUUCUUUAUUUCAUUUGAAAUUGAAAUUUACAAUUUAUUUCGAUAUUUUUUUUUUCCACUUUUUUUCUUCAAAUCAAAAAAUUCCUAUUUUUUUUUUACGUAGGUCGUCGAUUCGGCAUUGGAAAAAAAAAAAUAGCAAGAUGCCCAUUUUUUUAAUAAAUGGUUCAAAUAAUUUUAUCGAUAUGAGUGUUCUAUAUCAGAUAAAUUACCCACUAUUCAUUUUGAAACCAUUUCGGUACGUUAGUACCGGUAGAAAGAGUACCAUGUUUUGCCUGGACUUCAAACAGUUUAGCUUUAACCAUGUUAAUGGUCUCACAUUAUUGGUUGAUAGAGAAUCCAAUUUACCAAUAAGUCACGAAAUGCUAUGGUUCUUACAUAUGAUUUCUUAAUUUAUUCAGAAAUAAUUCGUUGAGAUCGUGCACUUUUUUUCCUAUUUAUCCUAUAAAAUUAAUAAAAUACCAUAAAUAAAGUGCAGUCGGAUGGAUCCAACCUAUUCUUGAAAUACACAACUCGCACACACUCCCUUUCCAAAAAAAAUUAAUACACCAAGCACUACACUUAGAUUUAUUGGAUUUGUUGCUAAAAUAUCGGUAUUAAACCCGAAACUCCCGGCGGAUGGCCAGUGACCCAAGGAAAGGAAAGAAUCGGUUACAUUUUUCAUAUGCUCUCCUCUUAUAGAUAGGACUAACAAAGAACAGAGUUCUUUUUGUAUCACUUCGUCGUCCCUUUUUUGAUCGAUUUCUUUUUA